ensembl:lncRNA
UAGAGUAGAGGAUGGUAGAGUAGAGGAUGGUAAAGUAGAUGGUAGAGGAGAGGAUGGUAGAGUAGAGUAGAGGAUGAUAGAGGAGAGGAGAGGAUGGUAAAGUAGAGGAGAGGAUGGUAGAGUAGAGUAGAGGAUGGUAGAGUAGAGGAGAGGAUGGUAAAGGAGAGGAGAGGAUGGUAGAGUACAGGAUGGUAGAGUAGAAGAGAGGAUGGUAAAAUAGAGUAGAGGAUGGUAGAGUAGAGAAGAGGAUGGUAAAGUAGAGGAGAGGAUGGUAGAGUAGAGUAGAGGAUGGUAGAGUAGAGGAGAGGAUGGUAAAGGAGAGGAGAGGAUGGUAGAGUACAGGAUGGUAGAGUAGAAGAGAGGAUAGUAGAGUAGAGGAUGGUAGAGUAGAGAAGAGGAUGGUAAAUGAGAGGAGAGGAUAUAGAGUAGAGGAUGGUAGAGUAGAGUAGAGGAUGGUAAAGUAGAGUAGAGGAUGGUAAAAUAGAGUAGAGGAUGGUAGAGUAGAGAAGAGGAUGGUAAAGGAGAGGAGAGGAUGGUAGUGUAGAGUAGAGGAUGGUAGAGUAGAGGAUGGUAGAGGAGAGUAGAGGAUGGUAGAGUAGAGAAGAGGAUGGUAAAUGAGAGGAGAGGAUUAUAGUGUAGAGGAUGGUAGAGGAGAGGAUGGUAGAGUAGAGGAUGGUAGAGUAGAGGAGAGGAUGGUAGAGUAGAGUAGAGGAUGGUAGAGUAGAGGAUGGUAGAGGAGAGGAGAGGAUGGUAAAGGAGAGGAGAGGAUGGUAGAGUAGAGGAUGGUAGAGUAGAGGAUGGUAGAGUAGAGAAGAGGAUGGCAAAGGAGAGGAGAGGAUGGUAGAGUAGAGGAUGGUAGAGGAGAGGAGAGGAAGGUAGAGUAGAGGAUAGGAUGGUAGAGUAGAGGAUGGUAUAGUAGAGUAGAGGAUGGUAGAGUAGAGUAGAGGAUGGUAGAGGAGAGGAGAGGUGAGGAUGGUAGAGUAGAGUAGAGGAUGGUAGAGUAGAAGAGAGGAUGGUAGAGUAGAGGAGAGGAUGGUAAAGGAGAGGAGAGGAUGGUAGAGUAGAGGAGAGGAUGGUAGAGUAGAGUAGAGGAUGGUAGAGUAGAGGAUGGUAGAGUAGAGGAGAGGAUGGUAAAG